AAAAGUUUUGGCUUAAGAAGAUUAUUUUUCAAAUCCCAGGAGAAUAACAAUUGGAAAACCCAUGCAUUCUGUAGUUUCUGGAAUGAAUAUAAGGUUUUAAUAGGCAGAGCUAUGAAAUGAUCAAUUCUCCUAACUCAGUUUCAUUAUCCUUUGUUUUUUGGAAAACUGUACCCACAGCAUCCAUGGCAAACCCAAAGAGAAGAAUUGCAGAGUCUUGACAAUGCUUCUCUCUGCAUUUGGCGCAGCGGUAACCUACAGAUGCAUGGAGAGAUGAAAAUGAUUUCUACCUUUAUAACCUUAUAUUGUAUGCUCUUUAAAGGUUUCUGGAAUGAAUGAUACCCAUUUUCCUGUGAUCUUUACAGAAAAGAAGAUGGCCAAAUCUGUAACUAAAUUUUGAAAAUCAGGAAAUGGGACAUUACUACUGGUCUUGGCCUUGAGAACAUCUGGGAGGGAUCAAAGAUUCUGCACUAAGAGAAAGAUCAGCAUUUUGCUCACAUUAGGGGGUAAACCGUAGAUUUUUGAUCCUCUAAUAAAAGUGA
rnacentral:lncRNA from 1 species